GCCGCGGUGGCUUAGUGGUUAUACGUUUGCUCACACCUCCAGGGUCCGGGGUUCGAUUCCCGGGCCAGGUCG